AAAAUCCCACAGAUGCCUACCCUUUCCAAUGAACAGAGAGAUUGAUGAGAUAAGAUUUGUCCAAUUGGAACAACCCUUUCUCCCCCUUUUGGUUGCUUAUGUCUUCUUUUCUGAGUUUGAGACAAAACCCAACUUGCAGGUAGAUAUUUCGGACACCCUUUUCAUCCCUAGAAAAAGGGGGGGGGGGGACUGGCUGUUAACUUAUGUUGGGAACACAUGUUGUUCUGUUGUGUUAUGCUGAUUAUAUACUGUAUGUUUUGAGUAAUACAUCCAGCAUGUUUAUGUC